AACGAACGCUGGCGGCAUGCCUAACACAUGCAAGUCGAACGAUCCCUUCGGGGAUAGUGGCGCACGGGUGCGUAACGCGUGGGAACCUGCCCUUAGGUUCGGAAUAACUCAGAGAAAUUUGAGCUAAUACCGGAUAAUGUCUUCGGACCAAAGAUUUAUCGCCUUUGGAUGGGCCCGCGUUGGAUUAGCUAGUUGGUGGGGGAAAGGCCUGCCAAGGCGAGGAUCCAUAGCUGGUCGGAGAGGAGGAUCAGCCACACUGGGACUGAGACACGGCCCAGACUCCGACGGGAGGCAGCAGUGGGGAAUAUUGUACGAGGGGCGAAAGCCUGAUACAGCAAUGCCGCGGGAGUGAGGAAGGCCUUAGGGUUGUAAAGCUCUUUGACCCGGGGUGAUAAUGACAGUACCGGGUGAAGAAGCCCCGGCUAACUCCGUG
rnacentral:rRNA from 1 species